rnacentral:rRNA from 1 species
CGAACGCUGGCGGCAGGCUUAACACAUGCAAGUCGAACGCCCCGCGAGGGGAGUGGCAGACGGGUGAGUAACACGUGGGAACAUACCCUUUGGUUCGGAACAACUCGGGGAAACCCGAGCUAAUACCGGAUAAGUGCGAGAGCAGAAAGAUUCAUCGCCGAAGGAUUGGCCCGCGUCCGAUUAGCUAGUUGGUGAGGUAAUGGCUCACCAAGGCGACGAUCGGUAGCUGGUCUGAGAGGAUGGCCAGCCACAUUGGGACUGAGACACGGCCCAAACUCCUACGGGAGGCAGCAGUGGGGAAUAUUGGACAAUGGGCGCAAGCCUGAUCCAGCCAUGCCGCGUGAGUGACGACGGCCUUAGGGUUGUAAAGCUCUUUCGCACGCGACGAUAAUGACGGUAGCGUGAGAAGAAGCCCCGGCUAACUUC